AGUGAAAGUAUUGAGCCUCCGUUCAGAGCAGCAGGAGGAGGAAGGUGGAGCUGAGGCAGACUAACUCCACCCUGACAUCAAGAAGAUGGAGGAAGAGGAUGGAGCAGGAUCUGCAGCAUCCAGCUGUGUGUCUGUGAGGAGAGACCAGUCCAAAGAAAGACCUCCAGUGUUCAGUAAUGAACCUGCACCAUCCAGCCGUGUGUUUGUGAGGAGAGACCGGUCCAAAGAAAGACCUCCAGAGUUCAGUAAUGAACCUGCAGCAUCCAGCUGUGUGUCUGUGAGGAGUGACUGGUCUAAAGAAGAACCUCCAUGGUUCAGUAAUGAACCUGCAGCAACAAUAGCUUCUGCACAGUGUGGAGAAAGAUCCAGAAGCAGAGCUGGACUGCAGACAGCCAGUCAGAGCAGCUGUGUACAAACAGAUGUUGGUCUGCAGGAGGUUUUAGAUGAACAUAAGAUCAGUCUGAGGAGGAGA